GGUUAAGCGACUAAGCGUACACGGUGGAUGCCCUGGCAGUCAGAGGCGAUGAAGGACGUGCUAAUCUGCGAUAAGCGUCGGUAAGGUGAUAUGAACCGUUAUAACCGGCGAUUUCCGAAUGGGGAAACCCAGUGUGAUUCGUCACACUAUCAUUAACUGAAUCCAUAGGUUAAUGAGGCGAACCGGGGGAACUGAAACAUCUAAGUACCCCGAGGAAAAGAAAUCAACCGAGAUUCCCCCAGUAGCGGCGAGCGAACGGGGAGGAGCCCAGAGCCUGAAUCAGUGUGUGUGUUAGUGGAAGCGUCUGGAAAGGCGCGCGAUACAGGGUGACAGCCCCGUACACAAAAAUGCACAUACUGUGAGCUCGAUGAGUAGGGCGGGACACGUGGUAUCCUGUCUGAAUAUGGGGGGACCAUCCUCCAAGGCUAAAUACUCCUGACUGACCGAUAGUGAACCAGUACCGUGAGGGAAAGGCGAAAAGAACCCCGGCGAGGGGAGUGAAAAAGAACCUGAAACCGUGUACGUACAAGCAGUGGGAGCCUCUUUAUGG
rnacentral:rRNA from 1 species